rnacentral:rRNA from 1 species
UACAGUGGGGGCAAGCGUUGUUCGGAAUUACUGGGCGUAAAGGGCUCGUAGGUGGCCAACUAAGUCAGACGUGAAAUCCCUCAGCUUAACUGGGGAACUGCGUCUGAUACUGGAUGGCUUGAGUUUGGGAGAGGGAUGCGGAAUUCCAGGUGUAGCGGUGAAAUGCGUAGAUAUCUGGAGGAACACCGGUGGCGAAGGCGGCAUCCUGGACCAACACUGACACUGAGGAGCGAAAGCCAGGGGAGCAAACGGG